AGUAUCUUACAAACCUACUUGUCAAAGCCUAAUCUUGUCAGAUCUCAGAAGCUAAGCAGGGUGGGACCUGGUUAGUACCUGGAUGAGAGAUCGAGGGGAAUAUUAGGUGCUACAG
rnacentral:rRNA from 1 species